AAUAGAUACCCUGGUAGUCCACGCCGUAAACGAUGAGUGCUAAGUGUUAGAGGGUUUCCGCCCUUUAGUGCUGCAGCGUAACGCAUUAAGCACUCCGCCUGGGGAGUACGGCCGCAAGGCUGAAACUCAAAGGAAUUGACGGGGGCCCGCACAAGCGGUGGAGCAUGUGGUUUAAUUCGAAGCAACGCGAAGAACCUUACCAGGUCUUGACAUCCUCUGACAACCCUAGAGAUAGGGCUUUCCCCUUCGGGGGACAGAGUGACAGGUGGUGCAUGGUUGUCGUCAGCUCGUGUCGUGAGAUGUUGGGUUAAGUCCCGCAACGAGCGCAACCCUUGAUCUUAGUUGCCAGCAUUCAGUUGGGCACUCUAAGGUGACUGCCGGUGACAAACCGGAGGAAGGUGGGGAUGGCGUCAAAUCAUCAUGCCCCUUAUGACCUGGGCUACACACGUGCUACAAUGGAUGGUACAAAGGGCUGCAAACCUGCGAAGGUAAGCGAAUCCCAUAAAGCCAUUCUCAGUUCGGAUUGCAGG
rnacentral:rRNA from 1 species